GAGGCAUAUUUCCUUCAGGUUAUGAUAUUUCAUAUUUCACAGAAGAGUGGAAAGAUGGAAAGCUCUUCUGGGCAGGAGUUUCUUUUGUGGUGAGGUAUCUCCAGGCUCUGGGAAAAUGCACAUU